GGCGGUUCCUUCGGACAUUUGACAAAAUUUUAAUGAUACGGAGAAAAUUAGCAUGACAUCUGUUCAAGGAUAACUUGCUUAAAGUUCGAGUUUCAUUUCU